CUCUGCCGCCCUGGUUCUGCCGCUCGAGACACUGCAGCCCCGGCCGCGGGGAGGCAGGAGGACUCUGCCCGAGGAGAGGGCCUUCGCCUACACGCCCCGCACGGAGUGGAACCUGCAGGGAGAGCUGUGGAACGCGUUGUGCAAAGUGGAAAUGUUCUGAACGUUAGAAAGACUUUCACAUUCAGUUCCCCUUCCCUCUACUCGGUGUGUCUCCGUCCACCAUGUACACACACACACACACACACACACACAAGCUCCCAGCCUGGAUCACACACACACACACACACACACACUCUCUGCAGCAUCUCUAAUCACUGGAUCCAUACUCACUUAUAUUUCCUCCAACCCACCCCUUUACCCAUAUGAAUAUACGCACACUAGGGCACUUGCAAAAAUGUUCACGUAUGAAAGGUAUAUUUGUACACAUCAUUGCACUUGGAAGACUUCUCCUCACACAUAUAUCAGUAUCAACAGUAUUCACUGAGCACCAACUGUGUGCUGAACACGGCGCCCGGCACUUGGGGAAUAUAAAAGAAAGCACCUGUGAGGAACUUUAAAACCGAUGGGGGAAGGCACUGACUCCCUGAGGUCCUUACAUUUGUGCACAGAUGCUCAGACACCUGUAAAAACCCUGACAGAUA